CAUGCAGCCGAGCGGUAGAGAUCUUUCGGGAUCUUGAGAGCGGCGUACGGGUGCGGAACACGUGUGCAACCUGCCUUUAUCAGGGGGAUAGCCUUUCGAAAGGAAGAUUAAUACCCCAUAAUAUAUUGAGUGGCAUCACUUAAUAUUGAAAACUCCGGUGGAUAGAGAUGGGCACGCGCAAGAUUAGAUAGUUGGUGAGGUAACGGCUCACCAAGUCUGCGAUCUUUAGGGGGCCUGAGAGGGUGAUCCCCCACACUGGUACUGAGACACGGACCAGACUCCUACGGGAGGCAGCAGUGAGGAAUAUUGGACAAUGGGUGCGAGCCUGAUCCAGCCAUCCCGCGUGAAGGACGACGGCCCUAUGGGUUGUAAACUUCUUUUGUAUAGGGAUAAACCUACUCUCGUGAGAGUAGCUGAAGGUACUAUACGAAUAAGCACCGGCUAACUCCGUGCCAGCAGCCGCGGUAAUACGGAGGGUGCAAGCGUUAUCCGGAUUUAUUGGGUUUAAAGGGUCCGUAGGCGGAUCUGUAAGUCAGUGGUGAAAUCUCACAGCUUAACUGUGAAACUGCCAUUGAUACUGCAGGUCUUGAGUGUUGUUGAGUAGCUGGGAAUAAGUAGUGUAGCGGUGAAAUGCAUAGAUAUUACUUAGACACCAUUGCGAAGGCAGGUUACUAGCACACUGACGCUGAUGGACGA
rnacentral:rRNA from 1 species